rnacentral:rRNA from 1 species
CAGGCCUAACACAUGCAAGUCGAACGAAGGCUUCGGCCUUAGUGGCGCACGGGUGCGUAACGCGUGGGAAUCUGCCCUUGGGUUCGGAAUAACAGCGGGAAACUGCUGCUAAUACCGGAUGAUGACGUAAGUCCAAAGAUUUAUCGCCCGAGGAUGAGCCCGCGUAGGAUUAGCUAGUUGGUGGGGUAAAGGCCUACCAAGGCGACGAUCCUUAGCUGGUCUGAGAGGAUGAUCAGCCACACUGGGACUGAGACACGGCCCAGACUCCUACGGGAGGCAGCAGUGGGGAAUAUUGGACAAUGGGCGAAAGCCUGAUCCAGCAAUGCCGCGUGAGUGAUGAAGGCCUUAGGGUUGUAAAGCUCUUUUACCCGGGAAGAUAAUGACUGUACCGGGAGAAUAAGCCCCGGCUAACUCCGUGCCAGCAGCCGCGGUAAU